UAUUGAAAGACUAGUGCAAAUACAGUAUCGUGUGCAAAAAAAAUAUUGUUCUGGUCGCUUACACAAAAUUAAUAAUAAUAAAAUAAGUUGUUGUUGUUGUUGUUGACUGUGAAAUCGUUUGGUGUUUGACGAUUGUAUAAAAAUCGUCGCUGAUCGUGCCGCUGAGUAGUAUUGCUCUAUAUAAUUAUUAUUGGAUUAUAUGUUUACACGUUGAUUCGUAUGAUGCUGAUGCGUAUGUUAUUGUGUUGCGUUGUCGUCGUAUUUUGUAUUUGUACGAUGGCGGUGGCCAGUUUUGCAAAAACGAAGAAAGAACGAUUGGUGGAAAGACAGGGGAAAUUGCAGAACCUCCAUUUCGAAAGAGUCACCGAUUCCAGUCGAACCGCCAAACAAUCAGCUGACGUCAAUUAUAGGAAACAUACAGUCGACAAGUCGAAGAAGCGCGUUAUAUCGCGAUAAAACAUGCGUCGAUGUAAACCUAGUACGUUAAAUUAUAAGAAAUAUACAUAAAAAAAAAAAAUAAAUGAUAAAUACAAAUCGAGUAGCGGCAGAUAUAGCAGUUUUACAUAUUA